ensembl:snoRNA SNORD19 small nucleolar RNA, C/D box 19
GAGGUAUGAGGAAAAUACUGAUCAGUCUGAAAUACAUUUGAAGACUGUAAGAUCCAACUCUGACCUCAGCCUGGGC